rnacentral:rRNA from 1 species
GAUGAACGCUGGCGGCGUGCUUAACACAUGCAAGUCGAACGGAAAGGCCCAAGCUUGCUUGGGUACUCGAGUGGCGAACGGGUGAGUAACACGUGGGUGAUCUGCCCUGCACUUCGGGAUAAGCCUGGGAAACUGGGUCUAAUACCGGAUAGGACCACAUUUUGGAUGGUGUGGUGGAAAGUUUUUCGGUGUGGGAUGAGCUCGCGGCCUAUCAGCUUGUUGGUGGGGUAAUGGCCUACCAAGGCGUCGACGGGUAGCCGGCCGGAGAGGGUGUACGGCCACAUUGGGGCUGGGGUACGGCCCAGACUCCUACGGGAGGCAGCAGUGGGGAAUAUUGCACAAUGGGGGCAAGCCUGAUGCAGCGACGCCGCGUGGGGGAUGACGGCCUUCGGGUUGUAAACUCCUUUCGCUAGGGACGAAGCGUUAUGUGACGGUACCUGGAGAAGAAGCACCGGCUAACUACGUG